AAAAAAACCCAUUUUCAGUAAACUCAUUUUCAAAUUUUUUUUGAACUCUGCAGUUUGAUUUCACGAAACUCAUAGCGAGAUUAAAGUUUGAUUUUACGAAACCCAUUUUCACGAAGUUUGCAGAAGAUUGCAAAACCUGUCACCGUUUCCUUCACUCUCAUUUCGAAAUUCGAACACUGAAACUCUUAUUUUAGGGUUCUUGUUGAGGGUAAGUCAUGGUGGCAAUUUUGUUCACUGCAAUUGGGGAAGUUGAGGGACAAAUUGAGUCGUGUUACGAUGAGAAAUUACCGGGAUCGGGAGAAAAAGAGAAACACAACGCUUCUGGAUUGAGUGGGUCUUUUCCUUUGCUUCUCUAAUAGUCAUAAGAUGUAGUGGUGACUUAUUUUUUCGAAUGAUGAGCUUUGUCCUCUUAACAUUUGUGGUCCAUCUUAAGGAGGAUAGUCGAAAAGUUACUAUAGUAGAAAAGGAUAACAAUUUUGACGUGUGUAGGGAUAUGAGUGGGCGGAGAUUGAGACAUGCUAAUGCUGACAAGAGGUUGGAGGAAUGGAGAGAUGGUGAUGGUGAGGAGGAUAUGAAGCUUGAGAAGGUUGAUGAGGAUUUUCUGAAGAAACAUAUUAAGAAAUUGAAGAUAUGGUAAGCCAUCUCAUCUUAUCUUAGUUUUGUUUUCGUAUUUCUCAAUUAUUAAACGGUAUUGAUUUUUAAGAUUAUUAUGAAGGCAGUGGUUAACAAAAUAAGAUAGUGUAUGUUUGGUUGUAGUUACGGAGAAACUGAUUUUAUCUCCGUUCGUACUCUUCACCGCCGGUUGAACGGUAACCCUCUUUCUCUCAUCUAUUUUGUUUACAGUGCCAUCUAUUUCUUCAACGAGAGAAAUGAUUUUUCCCAGUUUUCUAAGAUUUUUAGUUUAAUUAUAUUAGAUUUAUUGACUGAAAUUUGAAUCUGCUAGUUUUGUAAGAUUAGAUUUAUGGACCGAAAUUUGAAUCCCCUAUUGAAUUUCAAUUGAUUUUAGUGAAAUUUAUAUGAACCCUACAUUGUGAUAAUGCUUUGAUGAUAUGAGAAGAGUAAGAAUGUUUAUCUGUUGUUUUGGAUGUGAUGAUUCAGAGAUUUGCAAAAAGAGAAGAAAAAAUGAGUCGGGUUGUAAUUUCA